UCUCCCAUGUUUCUGCUUGCUAACAUUCAAAUCCCUGUUCUUUGCUACAUGAUCUGACACUUGCUUUCUCUACAGACAAACCUACGGUGCUGUACGUUAAGCAGAGCUGUGGUCCAAUGUCUCCAUGAUGCUUUACCGACAGAGUGAAUUCCUCACAGCAGAAAGUGCAGACCCCAACUUUUCCACCCAACGGGUCCAGCUGGACAGCAGCAGGGCACGCUACCCAACGCUGACCUCCCAUCCUCAUGACUCCAAUUUGCGUCACAGCAGGAAGGCAGAUUAGUCAGUCUCCACUGGCCAUUCAGGCUUUGCCCUGUCCCAACUACAGCCAACUAUGGGGACAACUGGAGCCAACCGCAGAGAGGACCAUUGCAGCUGAUCAUAAGUUAGAUCAGUCCCGAGGCUGCUCUAACAUACACCAGGGGCUGGGCACAUUCCCAGAUGACCGGGCCAUACAGGAGAUGCAAAAGUUACUUAAAGCCAUCUUUGGCCCCCUGCCCCUGUUCCUGUAUGACAUGUGACUCGGCCAGAAUGGAGAAUCAGACCCAAGCACUCCAGAGUUGCCCUGUUUGUCAUCCGGUACAGCAGCCCCGCUCACCGCAAAGGGUGGGACCUGUGGUGUGCAGGAAUGAUUAUGGACUUCGCAACAGAAGUUUUCUUUAGUGGCAGGAAAAUAUGCACGAGGUGGGCAGCAUGAACGUUUCAAGGACACUCGUAAAAGCAACUCCAAAGCCACUGCAGCAAAUAUAAAACAUCUGGGAGAGAGAGACUGAAAGUUGUGGUCGAGAGCCAGAGUUAGUCCAUGGCAGAGAUCUAUGUCAUCACACAGGGCCUGAUCCAAAGCCCAUUAAAAAAUAUGGAAAGAUUCUCAUUGGCUUCAUUGGAUUGGUCAGGCCUUUCUUGAAUCCCUACUGUCAGUGCCCCAUCAUUCCCCACUGUCUGAUUUCUAGUGCUUGGUCCAGCCCAUUUUUUCAGCAGAGCUGGCCAGAAAACAAGAAUUCCAUUUCAGAAAAUUGUCAAGGUUUCGGCAUUAGGUUUUGUGCCACAACAGGACCAAAUUAAGACCUUUCUAAAAAAAACCACCCACCCUAGUAAUUAGGGCACUUGCCUGGGAUGUGGGAAACCCUGAUUCAAACCCCUGCUUGGCCUGAUUUGAAACAGGGACUUGAACCUGUGUCUUCCACAUCCCAGCAGACUGCUCUAACAAGCUGUAGGGUCAGACUCUCCCAUUAGAGAGAUGUUGCACUUUGUGUAAGUUUAAUUGGGCAAGAAAGCAAUGCUGAUUCUAUAGCCCGGUGAUUUGGGCAUUCAACUGGGAGAGCCAGUCUCAGGUCUCUCCUCUGAAACAGGCAGGAGGGACUAACGUAUCCCAAGUGAAUAUCCUACCCACUAGGCUAUCAGCUAUUCCGGUCCCAGUCUCUCCACCUGAGAAAUCCUCCCGAGUGAGGCACAGGGGACAAUUCCACAGAGCAGUGCUUCAUGGCUCACAAAGGAGGUGGGAAUCACCUGUGUGGUCUCUCUGGGGUCCAUCCCCCACAUACACGGGUUCAGUUGUGCUUCCGGUCUAGCACGGCCACACAAAGAGGGGCAGGUCUCUCCCCUCCUUAGCCACUAAACACAUCCAUAAAACGACCUGUUGACUCUGGUUUUCUGAGCGCUUGGAGUCAGGCAAAGGACCACCAACAAUCUGCAGCAAAUAAUGUCGAAUAUAUGGUCGAGAAAGGACUGUUUUGUAGCAGUGCGUAAGCUCUUUAUGUUCUUGGGAAAAGCCAACAUAAAGCAUUUUUAUUGCAAUAAUAAAACUUGAGACUCGUAUGUGGUCGAAAGAAGGAAGCAAGGGGGAGGCUGUGGCAAUUGCUUCUACAAAAUUACUACAUGGGACAACAGAGGAGAGAAGUAUCAAUGGGAUCAGAUGAGACACUGCAUGGGAAAAAGCACC